CUCCCCCAUAUUUCAACAAGGUCUUUUCAAAUGAGCUGUUCCAGAAACUCACCACCAGUUGGAAUAUGUUGGAAAGGUUUGUGGGCACGAACAUGACGGAGAAUGUGAUUCAACACUUCCGGCACUACCACCGAGAUGAAAACUGCAAACCCUUCGAGUUCACAAUGGUUGAGCACUUUAAGGAUGCCGGGAUAACAUCAGGAGUUAUGGCUCACUUUAUGGAAGCUCAUUAUGGGUGUGAGGAGUGGGGACGACACUGUCUUAUAGACCGGGGACGAUCAUAGGCCGGGGACGACACUGACUUAUAGACCGGGGACGAUCAUAGGCCGGGGACGACACUGUCUUAUAGACC